rnacentral:rRNA from 1 species
UACGGAGGGUGCAAGCAUUAAUCGGAUUUAUUGGGCGUAAAGGGCGCGUAGGCGGUAUGGCAAGUCAGAUGUGAAAUUCUAAAGCUUAACUUUAGAGCUGCAUCUGAAACUACUAUACUUGAGGAUAGACGGAGAAAAUGGAAUUCCACGUGUAGCGGUGAAAUGCGUAGAUAUGUGGAGGAACACCGGUGGCGAAAGCGAUUUUCUAGUUUAUACCUGACGCUGAGGCGCGAAAGCGAGGGGAUCAAACAGG